rnacentral:hammerhead_ribozyme from 1 species
GCACUGCAGAGGAGUCGCACAAUAAGACGAAAUGGCCAUCCAAUGC